UAACCUGCCCAAGAGAUCGGGAUAACACCUGGAAACAGAUGCUAAUACCGGAUAACAACAGAUGAUGCCUAUCAACUGUUUAAAAGAUGGUUCUGCUAUCACUCUUGGAUGGACCUGCGGCGCAUUAGCUAGUUGGUAGGGUAACGGCCUACCAAGGCGAUGAUGCAUAGCCGAGUUGAGAGACUGAUCGGCCACAUUGGGACUGAGACACGGCCCAAACUCCUACGGGAGGCAGCAGAG
rnacentral:rRNA from 1 species